rnacentral:rRNA from 1 species
GGGUUGUGAGGUUAAGCGACUAAGCGUACACGGUGGAUGCCCUGGCAGUCAGAGGCGAUGAAGGACGUGCUAAUCUGCGAAAAGCGUCGGUAAGGUGAUAUGAACCGUUAUAACCGGCGAUGUCCGAAUGGGGAAACCCAGUGUGAUUCGUCACACUAUCGUUAACUGAAUACAUAGGUUAACGAGGCGAACCGGGGGAACUGAAACAUCUAAGUACCCCGAGGAAAAGAAAUCAACCGAGAUUCCCCCAGUAGCGGCGAGCGAACGGGGAGCAGCCCAGAGUCUGAAUCAGCUUGUGUGUUAGUGGAACGGUCUGGAAAGUCCGACGGUACAGGGUGAUAGUCCCGUACACCAAAAUGCACAGGCUGUGAACUCGAGAGUAGGGCGGGACACGUGGUAUCCUGUCUGAAUAUGGGGGGACCAUCCUCCAAGGCUAAAUACUCCUGACUGACCGAUAGUGAACCAGUACCGUGAGGGAAAGGCGAAAAGAACCCCGGCGAGGGGAGUGAAAAAGAACCUGAAACCGUGUACGUACAAGCAGUGGGAGCACCUUCGGGUGUGACUGCGUACCUUUUGUAUAAUGGGUCAGCGACUUAUAUUCUGUAGCAAGGUUAACCGUAUAGGGGAGCCGCAGGGAAACCGAGUCUUAACUGGGCGUUAAGUUGCAGGGUAUAGACCCGAAACCCGGUGAUCUAGCCAUGGGCAGGUUGAAGGUUGGGUAACACUAACUGGAGGACCGAACCGACUAAUGUUGAAAAAUUAGCGGAUGACUUGUGGCUGGGGGUGAAAGGCCAAUCAAACCGGGAGAUAGCUGGUUCUCCCCGAAAGCUAUUUAGGUAGCGCCUCGUGAACUCAUCUUCGGGGGUAGAGCACUGUUUCGGCUAGGGGGUCAUCCCGACUUACCAACCCGAUGCAAACUACGAAUACCGAAGAAUGUUAUCACGGGAGACACACGGCGGGUGCUAACGUCCGUCGUGAAGAGGGAAACAACCCAGACCGCCAGCUAAGGUCCCAAAGUCAUGGUUAAGUGGGAAACGAUGUGGGAAGGCACAGACAGCCAGGAUGUUGGCUUAGAAGCAGCCAUCAUUUAAAGAAAGCGUAAUAGCUCACUGGUCGAGUCGGCCUGCGCGGAAGAUGUAACGGGGCUAAACCAUGCACCGAAGCUGCGGCAGCGACACUAUGUGUUGUUGGGUAGGGGAGCGUUCUGUAAGCCUGCGAAGGUGACCUGUGAGGGUUGCUGGAGGUAUCAGAAGUGCGAAUGCUGACAUAAGUAACGAUAAAGCGGGUGAAAAGCCCGCUCGCCGGAAGACCAAGGGUUCCUGUCCAACGUUAAUCGGGGCAGGGUGAGUCGACCCCUAAGGCGAGGCCGAAAGGCGUAGUCGAUGGGAAACAGGUUAAUAUUCCUGUACUUGGUGUUACUGCGAAGGGGGGACGGAGAAGGCUAUGUUAGCCGGGCGACGGUUGUCCCGGUUUAAGCAUGUAGGCUGGUUAUCCAGGCAAAUCCGGAUAAUCAAGGCUGAGGUGUGAUGACGAGGCACUACGGUGCUGAAGUAACAAAUGCCCUGCUUCCAGGAAAAGCCUCUAAGCAUCAGGUAACAUCAAAUCGUACCCCAAACCGACACAGGUGGUCAGGUAGAGAAUACCAAGGCGCUUGAGAGAACUCGGGUGAAGGAACUAGGCAAAAUGGUGCCGUAACUUCGGGAGAAGGCACGCUGGUGUGUAGGUGAAGCCCCUGCGGGUGGAGCUGAGACCAGUCGAAGAUACCAGCUGGCUGCAACUGUUUAUUAAAAACACAGCACUGUGCAAACACGAAAGUGGACGUAUACGGUGUGACGCCUGCCCGGUGCCGGAAGGUUAAUUGAUGGGGUUAUCCGUAAGGAGAAGCUCUUGAUCGAAGCCCCGGUAAACGGCGGCCGUAACUAUAACGGUCCUAAGGUAGCGAAAUUCCUUGUCGGGUAAGUUCCGACCUGCACGAAUGGCGUAAUGAUGGCCAGGCUGUCUCCACCCGAGACUCAGUGAAAUUGAACUCGCUGUGAAGAUGCAGUGUACCCGCGGCAAGACGGAAAGACCCCGUGAACCUUUACUAUAGCUUGACACUGAACAUUGAGCCUUGAUGUGUAGGAUAGGUGGGAGGCUUUGAAGCGUGGACGCCAGUCUGCGUGGAGCCAACCUUGAAAUACCACCCUUUAAUGUUUGAUGUUCUAACGUUGGCCCCUUACCGGGGUUGCGGACAGUGUCUGGUGGGUAGUUUGACUGGGGCGGUCUCCUCCCAAAGCGUAACGGAGGAGCACGAAGGUUAGCUAAUCCUGGUCGGACAUCAGGAGGUUAGUGCAAUGGCAUAAGCUAGCUUGACUGCGAGCGUGACGGCGCGAGCAGGUGCGAAAGCAGGUCAUAGUGAUCCGGUGGUUCUGAAUGGAAGGGCCAUCGCUCAACGGAUAAAAGGUACUCCGGGGAUAACAGGCUGAUACCGCCCAAGAGUUCAUAUCGACGGCGGUGUUUGGCACCUCGAUGUCGGCUCAUCACAUCCUGGGGCUGAAGUAGGUCCCAAGGGUAUGGCUGUUCGCCAUUUAAAGUGGUACGCGAGCUGGGUUUAGAACGUCGUGAGACAGUUCGGUCCCUAUCUGCCGUGGGCGCUGGAGAAUUGAGGGGGGCUGCUCCUAGUACGAGAGGACCGGAGUGGACGCAUCACUGGUGUUCGGGUUGUCAUGCCAAUGGCACUGCCCGGUAGCUAAAUGCGGAAGAGAUAAGUGCUGAAAGCAUCUAAGCACGAAACUUGCCCCGAGAUGAGUUCUCCCUGAGACUUUAAGUCUCCUGAAGGAACGUUGAAGACGACGACGUUGAUAGGCCGGGUGUGUAAGCGCAGCGAUGCGUUGAGCUAACCGGUACUAAUGAACCGUGAGGCUUAACCUUACAACGCCGAAG